GACGAACGCUGGCGGCGUGCCUAAUACAUGCAAGUAGAACGCUGAAGCUUGGUGCUUGCUCCGAGCGGAUGAGUUGCGAACGGGUGAGUAACGCGUAGGUAACUUGCCUGGUAGCGGGGGAUAACUAUUGGAAACGAUAGCUAAUACCGCAUAAGAGUAGAUGUUGCAUGACAUUUGCUUAAAAGGUGCAAUUGCAUCACUACCAGAUGGACCUGCGUUGUAUUAGCUAGUUGGUUAGGUAACGGCUCACCAAGGCAACGAUACAUAGCCGACCUGAGAGGGGGUUCGGCCCCACUGGGAAUGGGAAACGGGCCAAGCUCCUACGGGGGGCAGCAGUAGGGGAUCUUCGGCAAAGGGCGGAAGUCUUACCGGGCAACGCCGCGUGGGUGAAGGAGGUUUUCGGAUCGUAAAGCUCUGUUGUAAGGGAAGAACGAGUGUGGGAGUGGAAAGUUCACACUGUGACGGUAUCUUACCAGAAAGGGACGGCUAACUACGUG
rnacentral:rRNA from 1 species